GGCAGAUCUAGCAGUAUAGUUCUGGGUUCGUUUUCGACUUAUAACUUUUAGUCUAGACCGAGAUUUAUCUUAUGUAAAAUGUACUGAAAAUAUUGAACUAUGAACCCAGAACUCGAAUAAGGUGAUGGGUUCAGUGGUUGAAACUCGAGUCCUAGACUCGUUGAGUUUAAAUCUUGGAUUCUACCUCCAAGAGGUGGAUAAUUUUGUAACGAUUUUAAAGAUGAUUCGCUAUCGAUUC
rnacentral:misc_RNA from 1 species